rnacentral:rRNA from 1 species
UACGUAGGUGGCAAGCGUUGUCCGGAUUUACUGGGCGUAAAGAGCGCGCAGGCGGUCGUUCAAGUCGCGUGUGAAAGCCCCCGGCUCAACUGGGGAGGGUCACGCGAUACUGAUCGACUCGAAGGCAGGAGAGGGUAGUGGAAUUCCCGGUGUAGUGGUGAAAUGCGUAGAGAUCCGGAGGAACCCCAGAGGCGAAGGCGGCGUCCUGGCCCAUUUCUGACGUUCAGGCGCGAAAGCUAGGGGAGCAAACGGG